CUUCCUAUUUACUGUAAGUCACUCUGGAUAAGAGCGUCUGCUAAAUGACUGAAA
rfam:Salmo salar isolate Sally breed double haploid chromosome ssa22, whole genome shotgun sequence.